CACAAAAGACAAUAAAAAAAACAGGAAAGGUUAAAGGGUCAUCCAAGGGAUCAACUUUCGUCGAAGAAGUGUAAAGGACGCGGGUCAAACGGGCAAAAUGGUUUACUGUUUUGCUCCUACAUGUGGCCAUUCGUCGGAUUGCAACACUUGCAAGUUCUUCGCUUUUCCAAGCGCUACAAUGCUAAACGACGAGUACAAGAGAUGGAUUCGACUGAUAAGAUUUCUUUUCUUCCGAGAAGAAAGAAAAAAGCGAAGCGAUGGAUAAUGUCUCCAUUUUGCAUCGAAUGGGCGCUUGUUUGGAACUGACAUUUUUAGCACCAUGGAAACGUGACGUCACCACUUAAGAACUCUAUAUUUUUUAUAGUUCCUUAUAGCUUUCCGUUGAUUAUAAAUUAACCAUAUUUAGUAAAGAAACAAAUAUAUCCAUACGUAAUAUCUUGUAUAAAUAGAAGUAGUUUAACCAUUGUACGAUAGAUCGUAGACAACAGACAUUGACGUUGAACAUUAAAUGUGAUCAUAACAGUUACCUGUAAUAUCUCUAAUUGUUGGUGUAAGUCAAUAAAUACUAAGGAAGGUAGUGUUUUCAUACUAUAAAUAUUGCGAACAGGCAGUCUUUGGCAUUUGGCACAGCAGUAAUAAAGUAUAUUUGUAAACAUUGAGUUCAAUCGCAUUUGUUGGAAUAUUUGUGGUCCUUCCUCACAAGUUGUGCAAAACCACCAAACCUUUGAGAAGUAAUGGUGAAAACGUUACAUCGAUCUGACUUCCGAUCAUCUAAUGAGCUUUGAUAUGCGCCACCAUAACGUUUGGGUUUUUGUCAUUUGUCACAAAUAUUUUUUAUCAUUUUAUAUUACCAAUAUUUAAUUAUUAUCAUUUUUUAUGUUAAUAUUCAAAUGAAAAAUCUAUCAUUAAUUUUCUUAGUUUGUGAAUUGUGUGUAUUUGCUGCGCAAAGCAAAAUUAUUUGUGCUUGUAAUAUGAUAAGAUUUAUAGCUGAAGAAUGCAAGUGAACAAAGUCACGAUUUGUUAGAUCUAAAACGUCGUAAUAACGUUUGUACAAAACGUCGCCGAAACGUUCGUAAUGAACGUCGCCAUAACGUUUCUGAGAAAAGUUCAAUGGUUUAUAUGCUAUGCAGCAUUGUAAAAAAAUCUUCUUAAUAUGAAAUUACUCUGGAGAAUGUCA